rnacentral:misc_RNA from 1 species
GAUGAAGAACGUAGCGAAAUGCGAUAAGUAGUGUGAAUUGCAGAAUUCAGUGAAUCAUCGAAUCUUUGAACGCACAUUGCGCCCCAUGGUAUUCCGUGGGGCAUGCCUGUUCGAGCGUCAUUUACCCCCUCAAGCUCCGCUUGGUGUUGGGCGUCUGUCCCGCUUCGCGCGCGGACUCGCCCCAAAGGUAUUGGCAGCGGUCGUGCCAGCUUCUCGCGCAGCACAUUGCGCUUCUCGAGGCACCGGUGGGCCCGCGGCCAUCAAGCUCACCCCCCCAGUUUGACCUCGGAUCAGGUAGGGAUACCCGCUGAACUUAAGCAUAUCAAUAAGCGGAGGA